CUCAAACCCGCCGCCCUCCUUGAAACAGAAACACAAAAAGAGGAAUGGGCAGUGGGAGGGAAUUGUAACUCAUUCUUCUUUUUCUUUCGUUUUAGCUUUCUUUGAUUUUUGAUUGUUGAUAUAAUCGCAUUCUUGGGUUCUUGACAGAUUUCAUUUUUGUUCUUUCUUUUAUUUGAAAGAAGGAAUUCUUUCUUCUCUGUUCUUUAUUCUCUCUUUCUUGGACUAAGACUGAUCACAAAGACUAGACAGAGCACUUGUAAUCUUUUCCUUUUUCUUGAAAAGAAAGAGUAUAGACAGAGGUAUAUAAAAAGCAGAGUGAAGAAGGGGGGAGAAAGUGAGGUGCGCUUUGUAAAGACCGUGAUUCAAAACAAGGUGGUUUUCUCAUUGUUCACACCGCUUUUGGUAAAAUAUAUAUGUAUCAUAUCUAUGUCUCUAUGACUCUAUCCUUUUUUGAUUAACCGCCUUCUUUAGUUUUUAUUCACAUUUAUCCUUCGGUUUUAUCAGGACUAAGACCUUCUGUCACUUUAUAACCAUAUCUAUAUCUCUGUCCCUGCUGCUUGCUUGCUUUCUUGCUUUUUUUCUUGUGCAUUUGUGUUUUUCUCUUUGUGGGUUCAGCUUUAUUUUGUUAAUUAUCAGUACCCAUUUGUUCUCAUUACUGUUUUUAGUUGAACACCAUACCAGAAACACCAUUUAGGGAGAACAGGGCCAAGGAAAUAGAAAAAUGAAGUACGUUUUGGUUACUGGUGGGGUAGUUAGUGGACUUGGCAAAGGGGUUACUGCCAGUAGUAUCGGUGUUCUCCUUAAAGCUUGUGGCCUCCGUGUAACUUCUAUCAAGAUUGACCCUUACCUAAAUACUGAUGCGGGGACUAUGUCUCCUUUUGAGCAUGGGGAGGUCUUUGUAUUAGACGAUGGUGGUGAGGUAGAUUUGGACCUUGGCAAUUAUGAGCGGUUUCUAGAUAUCAAGCUAACCCGUGACAACAAUAUCACAACUGGAAAAAUAUAUCAGUCUGUAAUUGAUAAAGAGAGAAAAGGAGAUUAUCUUGGAAAGACUGUGCAGGUAGUUCCGCACAUUACUAAUGCCAUCCAAGAAUGGAUAGAGCGUGUAGCAAUGGUACCGGUCGAUGGAAAAGAAGGUCCAGCUGAUGUUUGUGUCAUUGAAUUAGGUGGAACUAUAGGGGAUAUUGAAUCUAUGCCGUUCAUUGAAGCACUUGGCCAGUUUUCUUACCGUGUAGGUAAGUUGAUUAUCUGGAUCUUUGUUGCACUCGCUGUUAUAAAUUGGUUUCUUUUGGAUACUUUUUGGUAUAGCUUCUGCCUUAGUUACUGCUUGUUGUUAGGCCCUGGCAAUUUUUGUUUGGUCCAUGUGAGCCUUGUUCCUGUUAUAAAUGUGGUUGGUGAACAGGUAUAUCUGGACACUUUGUUUCCCUUAAUAUGGCAUUUUGCAUAGAUAUGUGUUUCAAAGCAUCGUGUUGAUGGAUGUACUUAUUAGUUGUUGUUGGCUCUUAUUACUGUUCUGUGUAAAUGCUUUGAAUAACAGAAAACAAAGCCUACCCAACAUAGCGUUCGAGGGCUAAGAGGACUUGGGUUGACGCCAAACAUUUUAGCUUGUCGUAGUUCAAAGGAACUUGACGAGAAUGUUAAGUUAAAGAUCUCUCAAUUUUGCCAUGUGCUGGUAUUGUAUGCUAACUACUACUAUUCUUUUAUUUGGUUUCUUUUGCCAUGGUUACUAUUUCUAUAGAAUUUAACUUAUGUGCAGACUGAAAACAUUGUAACUCUAUACGAUGUUCCCAACAUUUGGCACAUUCCUUUGUUACUCAGAGAUCAGAGGGCACAUGAAUCAAUAUUGAAAGGACUGAAUCUUCAAGGCACUGCCAGGGAGCCUGAUUUGUACGAGUGGACUGAUAGGACAAAAAUCUGUGACAUGCUGCAUGAUCCUGUUAGAAUUGCCAUGGUUGGAAAAUACACGGGUCUUUCAGAUUCCUACCUCUCUGUUUUGAAGGCCCUUUUGCAUGCUUCUGUUGCUUGUCGCCGGAAGCUUAUUGUAGAAUGGGUUGCAGCAGGUGAUCUAGAAGAAGUUACAGCAAAAG
rnacentral:misc_RNA from 1 species